rnacentral:rRNA from 1 species
CCCCCACAUUGGAACUGAGACACGGUCCAAACUCCUACGGGAGGCAGCAGUGAGGAAUAUUGGUCAAUGGGCGAGAGCCUGAACCAGCCAAGUAGCGUGAAGGAUGACUGCCCUAUGGGUUGUAAACUUCUUUUAUAAAGGAAUAAAGUCGGGUAUGGAUACCCGUUUGCAUGUACUUUAUGAAUAAGGAUCGGCUAACUCCGUGCCAGCAGCCGCGGUAAUACGGAGGAUCCGAGCGUUAUCCGGAUUUAUUGGGUUUAAAGGGAGCGUAGAUGGAUGUUUAAGUCAGUUGUGAAAGUUUGCGGCUCAACCGUAAAAUUGCAGUUGAUACUGGAUAUCUUGAGUGCAGUUGAGGCAGGCGGAAUUCGUGGUGUAGCGGUGAAAUGCUUAGAUAUCACGAAGAACUCCGAUUGCGAAGGCAGCCUGCUAAGCUGCAACUGACAUUGAGGCUCGAAAGUGUGGGUAUCAAACAGGAUUAGAUACCCUGGUAGUCCACACGGUAAACGAUGAAUACUCGCUGUUUGCGAUAUACUGCAAGCGGCCAAGCGAAAGCGUUAAGUAUUCCACCUGGGGAGUACGCCGGCAACGGUGAAACUCAAAGGAAUUGACGGGGGCCCGCACAAGCGGAGGAACAUGUGGUUUAAUUCGAUGAUACGCGAAAGGUGCUGCAUGGUUGUCGUCAGCUCGUGCCGUGAGGUGUCGGCUUAAGUGCCAUAACGAGCGCAACCCUUGUUGUCAGUUACUAACAGGUUCCGCUGAGGACUCUGACAAGACUGCCAUCGUAAGAUGUGAGGAAGGUGGGGAUGACGUCAAAUCAGCACGGCCCUUACGUCCGGGGCUACACACGUGUUACAAUGGGGGGUACAGAGGGCCGCUACCACGCGAGUGGAUGCCAAUCCCCAAAACCUCUCUCAGUUCGGACUGGAGUCUGCAACCCGACUCCACGAAGCUGGAUUCGCUAGUAAUCGCGCAUCAGCCACGGCGCGGUGAAUACGUUCCCGGGCCUUGUACACACCGCCCGUCAAGCCAUGGGAGCCGGGGGUACCUGAAGUGCGUAACCGCGAGGAGCGCCCUAGGGUAAAACUGGUGACUGGGGCUAAGUCGUAACAAGGUAGCCGUACCGGAAGGUGCGGCUG